GGAUGGAAAACGUUUCCCCGGCGAAAACUUGUCCCCGCCGUAAAAGAGUUGCGGGGCGAAAGGGUGUCCCCCACGUGAAAAACCUGCCCAGAAAAAGGGGAUCCCACUUGGAAACAGGUGCUAAUACCGAAUAACCAUAGUUACCGAAAGGCAACUAUGUAAAAGGUGGCUAUGCUACCGCUUUUGGAUGGGCCCGCGGCGCAUUAGCUAGUUGGUGGGGUAAAGGCUUACCAAGGCAAUGACGCGUAGCCGAACUGAGAGGUUGAUCGGCCACAUUGGGACUGAGACACGGCCCAAACUCCUACGGGAGGCAGCAGUAGGGAAUCUUCCACAAUGGGCGAAAGCCUGAUGGAGCAACGCCGCGUGGGUGAAGAAGGUCUUCGGAUCGUAAAACCCUGUUGUUAGAGAAGAAAGUGCGUGAGAGUAACUGUUCACGUUUCGACGGUAUCUAACCAGAAAGCCACGGCUAACUACGUGCCAGCAGCCGCGGUAAUACGUAGGUGGCAAGCGUUAUCCGGAUUUAUUGGGCGUAAAGGGAACGCAGGCGGUCUUUUAAGUCUGAUGUGAAAGCCUUCGGCUUAACCGGAGUAGUGCAUUGGAAACUGGGAGACUUGAGUGCAGAAGAGGAGAGUGGAACUCCAUGUGUAGCGGUGAAAUGCGUAGAUAUAUGGAAGAACACCAGUGGCGAAAGCGGCUCUCUGGUCUGUAACUGACGCUGAGGU
rnacentral:rRNA from 1 species